GAAUAAAGACAUUAAAUGUCAUAUUAUGUGCAAAUAGUUCAAGUACAAAAGAGAAAAUAAAUAAGCAUAAAUAUGGGUUGUAUUUACAAUGGUGUUUGUUCUUCACUGGUUGCCCUUUUCUUGUGGCAACAGGUCACGAAUCGUUCUGCUGUGAUGGCACACUGUGGUAUUUCACCCAGUAGAUAUGGGAGUUUAUCAAAAUUGGGUUUGUUUUCUAAUUCUUUGUGUAUCUGUGUAAUAACACCCACAGCAUUAUGCAAUGUUAAAGCUACCUGAGUAGAUAGACAGAUCAGCAGAGGUACCCCCCAUCACCCACACCCCAGUAUGCCUUGUACUCAAAGAUAAGAGUCCUGUCACACACACCCAGCCAUCUCCUCCAGCUAUCUCUAUAAUGGUAAGAGUCCUUUCCUCUCCACCCGGCCGUCUCUAGCUAUCUCUAUAAUGGUAAGAGUCCUUUCCCCUCCACCCGGCCGUCUCUAGCUAUCUCUAUAAUGAUAAGAGUCCUUUCCUCUCCACCCGGCCGUCUCCUCCAGCUAUCUCUAUAAUGUUACAGUAAUUUCCUCUCCACCCCGCCGUCUCUAGCUAUCUCUAUAAUGGUAAGAGUCCUUUCCCCUCCACCCGGCAGUCUCCUCCAGCUAUCUCUAUAAUGGUAAGAGUCCUUUCCUCUCCACCCGGCCGUCUCCUCCAGCUAUCUCUAUAAUGGUUAGUCCUUUCCUCUCCACCAGGCCAUCUCCUCCAGCUAUCUCUAUAAUGUUACAGUAAUUUCCUCUCCACCCGGCCGUCUCCUCCAGCUAUCUCUAUAAUGGUAAGAGUCCUUUCCUCUCCACCAGGCCAUCUCCUCCAGCUAUCACUAUAAUGGUAAGAGUCCUUUCCUCUCCACCCCGCCGUCUCUAGCUAUCUCUAUAAUGGUAAGAGUCCUUUCCUCUCCACCCGGCCGUCUCCUCCAGCUGUCUCUAUAAUGGUAAGAGUCCUUUCCUCUCCACCUGGCCGUCUCCUCCAGCUAUCUCUAUAAUGGUUAGUCCUUUCCUCUCCACCAGGCCAUCUCCUCCAGCUAUCUCUAUAAUGUUACAGUAAUUUCCUCUCCACCAGGCCAUCUCCUCCAGCUAUCUCUAUAAUGGUAAGAGUCCUUUCCUCUCCACCUGGCCAUCUCCUCCAGCUAUCUCUAUAAUGGUAAGAGUCCUUUCCUCUCCACCCGGCCGUCUCCUCCAGCUAUCUCUAUAAUGGUAAGAGUCCUUUCCUCUCCACCAGGCCAUCUCCUCCAGCUAUCACUAUAAUGGUAAGAGUCCUUUCCUCUCCACCCGGCCGUCUCCUCCAGCUAUCUCUAUAAUGGUAAGAGUCCUUUCCUCUCCACCCGGCAGUCUCCUCCAGCUAUCUCUAUAAUGGUAAGAGUCCUUUCCUCUCCACCCGGCCGUCUCCUCCAGCUAUCUCUAUAAUGGUAAGAGUCCUUUCCUCUCCACCCGGCAGUCUCCUCCAGCUAUCUCUAUAAUGGUAAGAGUCCUUUCCUCUCCACCCGGCCGUCUCCUCCAGCUGUCUCUAUAAUGGUAAGAGUCCUUUCCUCUCCACCCGGCCGUCUCCUCCAGCUGUCUCUAUAAUGGUAAGAGUCCUUUCCCCUCUACCCGGCCAUCUCCUCCAGCUAUCUCUAUAAUGGUAAGAGUCCUUUCCCCUCCACCCGGCCAUCUCCUCCAGCUAUCUCUAUAAUGGUAAGAGUCCUUUCCUCUCCACCUGGCCAUCUCCUCCAGCUAUCUCUAUGAUGGUAAGAGUCCUUUCCUCUCCACCUGGCCAUCUCCUCCAGCUAUCUCUAUAAUGGUAAGAGUCCUUUCCUCUCCACCUGGCCGUCUCCUCCAGCUAUCUCUAUAAUGGUAAGAGUCCUUUCCUCUCCACCUGGCCGUCUCCUCCAGCUAUCUCUAUAAUGGUAAGAGUCCUUUCCUCUCCACCUGGCCGUCUCCUCCAGCUGUCUCUAUAAUAGCUCUGCUUUGUCUUUUUAAAAUGGCAGCUGGAACCCACAGGCUUCCCAACAUUCCACUACUCCAAACUGAUUGGCUCUUCAUUAAAAUAUGGACUAUAUGCAAACCACAGUUUGGGAACAAUCACUGUGGUAGAUUUACUUUGUUUCAAUGGUGAGCCAGAGGAGAUUUCAUCAUAUGGUCAUGUCCAAAUUACAUAAUUUGAGAAUAAGAUGCAAAGUUGAUCUGAAGACAAAGUUCGAGUCCUUUCCAUUUUGAACAAUCACUACAUUCCCUGUGUAUGUAGCAGACCGGUGCUGAACACAUUCCCUGCGUAGGUAGCAGACCGUUGCGUUGCUGAACACAUUCACUGCGUAGGUAGCAGACCGGUGCUGAACACAUUCCCUGCGUAGGUAGCAGACCGGUGCUGAACACAUUCCCUGCAUAGGUAGCAGACCAGUGCUGAACACAUUCCCUGCAUAGGUAGCAAACCGGUGCUGAACACAUUCCCUGUGUAGGUAGCAGACCGGUGCUGAACACAUUCCCUGUGUAAGUAGCAGACCGUUGCUGAACACAUUCCCUGCGUAGGUAGCAGACCGGUGCUGAACACAUUCCCUGCGUAGGUAGCAGACCGGUGCUGAACACAUUCCCUGCGUAGGUAGCAGACCGUUGCUGAACACAUUCCCUGCGUAGGUAGCAGACCGGUGCUGAACACAUUCCCUGUGUAGGUAGCAGACCGGUGCUGAACACAUUCCCUGCGGAUUUAGCAGACCGGUGCUGAACACAUUCCCUGCGUAGGUAGCAGACCGGUGCUGAACACAUUCCCUGCGUAGGUAGCAGACCGGUGCUGAACACAUUCCCUGUGUAGGUAGCAGACCGGUGCUGAACACAUUCCCUGCGUAGGUAGCAGACCGGUGCUGAACACAUUCCCUGUGUAGGUAGCAGACCGGUGCUGAACACUGACAUAGUGAUUGGAGAGACAGACUAUAGAUCCUAGACAGUGUUUUACUACCAGAAACAGGGACAGUUCACCCUCAACUCCUACAAAAAUGUUCAUUAAUUAUAAUCUACAAAAUCAUAAAAAUUUCCUGUUGCUUAAAUUAAGAUCCUACAUUUCUACAUAUAUGAAAUUAGAAGAUUUAUUUCCCUUAGUUAUGUAUAUUAAAACAAUAAUGUUGAAAUUGAAUUGACUCUCUGUUUUUAAUUUGUUGCCAGUCUGUGGAUAAGGACCAUGUGAUCAGUGAGUAUCCAAUUUCAAAAAGUUUGUCCAGCCAUUGGUAGUGGAGACCAUACAAAGGACUGUGCAUCGUGGAGCAAAAAUGGCAAACUACAGCGAUAUGAUAUAGACAAUAGACUUCUUCUAGAGUUUGCUGAGUGAGUAGUGGUUGACA